rnacentral:misc_RNA from 1 species
GAUGAAGAACGUAGCGAAAUGCGAUAAGUAAUGUGAAUUGCAGAAUUCAGUGAAUCAUCGAAUCUUUGAACGCACAUUGCGCCCGCCAGUAUUCUGGCGGGCAUGCCUGUUCGAGCGUCAUUUCAACCAUCAAGCCCCCGGCUUGUGUUGGGGACCUGCGGCUGCCGCAGGCCCUGAAAAGCAGUGGCGGGCUCGCUGUCACACCGAGCGUAGUAGCAUACAUCUCGCUCUGGGCGUGCUGCGGGUUCCGGCCGUUAAACCACCUUCAUAACCCAAGGUUGACCUCGGAUCAGGUAGGAAGACCCGCUGAACUUAAUCAUAUCAAUAAGCGGAGGA